rnacentral:tRNA from 1 species
UGUCCACGUAGCUCAGUUGGAUAGAGCACACGCCUCCUAAGCGUGGGGCCGGAGGUUCAACUCCUCUCGCGGACGCCAC